CCAAAAAGGACAGAGGCUUUUUCCCCAUGGUUCCCUGCUGUUUCUUUCUGGUCAUGCUGGCCUGUAUGGCAUUGGCUCUGGAACAGACCCCAGACAGAGUGGUACGACAAGGCCAAGAUGUCAAUCUGAUCUGUUCCAAGAAGAAAUCCUCCAGCACAGUUAUGUACUGGUACAGGCUGCCCCUGGGGAAGGACUCCAGGCUGAUCCUAGUGGCUUAUGCAUUCGAAGGUGCCGAUGCAAAUAUUGAGAAGGAUUUCCAAAGCCAUUUCAAGGCCACGAAGAUACAAGGAGAUGCGAUGACCCUCACAAUACAGUAUGCCUUUCUCAACGACUCUGGCAUGUAUUACUGUGCUGAGAGUGAAACACAGUGGCUGAACACAAACCUCCCUCUGCACAAAAGGGACCUGCUUUCCUCCUCCUCGGUGCUGCGCAUGGCAGUUUGUGGAAAUGAAUGCAAUGGGAACCAGUUGGACCUGCAACAGAAGGAUUGCAAGCUGGAGAAGCCGCACCCUUUUGCUAAAAGGACACAGGGGAACAUCUUCACUGCAAAGCACAUGACAGCCUUGAGCAGCCUGAUCACUUGCUAG